UACGUAGGUGGCAAGCGUUGUCCGGAAUUAUUGGGCGUAAAGCGCGCGCAGGCGGUCCUUUAAGUCUGAUGUGAAAGCCCACGGCUCAACCGUGGAGGGUCAUUGGAAACUGGGGGACUUGAGUGCAGGAGAGAAGAGUGGAAUUCCACGUGUAGCGGUGAAAUGCGUAGAGAUGUGGAGGAACACCAGUGGCGAAGGCGGCAUCCUGGACCGGUAUUGACGCUGAGGCGCGAAAGCUAGGGGAGCAAACGGG
rnacentral:rRNA from 1 species